rnacentral:misc_RNA from 1 species
UCCGAGUUGACCCCGGCAGUCUCCUAUGAGUCCCCACCAUUACGUGCUGGCGACAUAGAACGAGGGUUGCGCUCGUUGCGGGACUUAACCCAACAUCUCACGACACGAGCUGACGACAGCCAUGCACCACCUGUACACCGACCACAAGGGGGCCCCUGUCUCUAGGGGUUUCCGGUGUAUGUCAAGCCUUGGUAAGGUUCUUCGCGUUGCGUCGAAUUAAGCCACAUGCUCCGCCGCUUGUGCGGGCCCCCGUCAAUUCCUUUGAGCUUUAGCCUUGCGGCCGUACUCCCCAGGCGGGGCGCUUAAUGCGUUAGCUGCGGCACGGAAACCUGGAGAGGUCCCCACACCUAGCGCCCAACGUUUACAGCGUGGACUAC